AUUUUUCAUUAGAUUGAUCUGGUUUUUAAGAGUGACAUACCUAUUUCCAGAUCGAGUCACUAAUGUUCACAGAAUCAGAAACAUAUGAAUAUGUUCUUCAAGUUCCGACUGUAUAUGUGUUAUACAGACGUCAUGAUAUUUCUCAGCCUGUUGACAAUAAUUCAAGCUUACGUUAAUGUUGCCCUUAACAAACCAGCUUACCAACAACAUCCACACAAAACAGAAGUAUUUGAAUGUGACGUAGGGACGUUUGGAACAGAUUGCAGUGGUGUAUGUGGUUAUUGUAAUCGGGGACAAUGCAAUAAAAACACGGGAAUCUGUGCUUCAGGGUGUGCGCCUGGAUAUCAAGGGAUAUAUUGUAAUAAAACAUGCGCCUUAAUGCGUUACGGACCGAAUUGUCAGCUAACCUGCAAAACAAAUUGCCUGAACCAAACUUGUGAUUCUAAAAGUGGAACUUGUCUGGAAACGAAAUCGCCAGUACUUGUAGCUGAAAAGAACAAUAACAAUAUAAUGUUGUUUGUAAUUGGUGGAUCCUCGGGAGCACUGUGUCUCCUAAUCAUUAUUUUGUUCAGUUUAUAUAAAAGGUUUAUCAGCAAAAAGUGUCAAAAAUCAAUGCCGAAUAAAACAGAAUCAAAACGAAAAACAUACGAAAACACUGAUUUGAAUUUAAACAUCGACGAAUCAUUAAGGCGUCUAAUGGAAAGACAUUUGAACACUACUGACAAAAAUAGCUACGAGCAAGUACAUAUUGAUAGUUCCGCUGAAAAUAUGUGCACCUACGAGGAGUUGUUUGCAACACCAAUAAAUGACACUGAAUCCAUUACACUCCAGACGGACGAAGAAGUGUGUUUUAUGAUGAUAUUUGGUUCCAAUGCUUUAUUACUAAUUCAUAAUGUGUAUGCUUUUUCUUAA
rnacentral:sRNA from 1 species